rnacentral:lncRNA from 1 species
CCUCGUCCUUUAGAAAGAGUAUCACAAGCAGUGAAAGGUCUUGGAUCAUCUCACAAGCCUGCAACAGCAAACAGGAUUCGAUCCAGGAUUGAUUGCUCCAACAGAAUACGUCAUUCCCAACAUUUAAUCAAAAAACAAAAAGGAAAAAGUCCACAAGAAAAACAGGAGGGCCGACACGAACAAAUGGGUCUAUUCACCCAAGUGAAGACUGCGUCUUGAACCACAAAAUUAAAACUCUGCAGUAAAAUCUUGAAGUCUCUCGAGCUUACCUUCCUCUCUCUAGACCCAGAACUCAAGUACAAAAUAUUCACCAACGAGUGAGCUUUCAACAAGUCGUGCUAAGAUCACAGGAACAAGUCACUCAUCCUGUCUAAAGGGUCGCUGCCUUU